rnacentral:rRNA from 1 species
ACUCAAAUGAAUUGACGGGGAGGCGCACAAGCAGUGGAGCGUGUGGUUUAAUUCGAUUCAAAGCGAAAAACCUCACCAGGACUUGACAUGUAGCUGCAAGCGCACGGAAACGUGUGACCUUCGAGGGUGCUACACAGAUGCUGCAUGGCUGUCGUCAGCUCGUGGCGUGAGCUGUAUCAUUAAGUUGAGUAACGAGCGCAACCCGCAUUGCAUGUUAAAUAGUUCAUGCAAAACUGCCUCAUUUUUUGAGGAGGAAGGCGCGGAUGACGUCAAGUCAGCACGGCUCUUACGUCCUGGGCUACACACACCCUACAAUGGCGAAUAACAACGAGCUGCAAACGGGUAACCGUAAGCUAAUCUCUAAAAUUUCGCCUCAGUUCAGAUUGAGGUCUGAAACCCGACCUCAUGAAGGAGGAAUUGCUAGUAAUCGCGAAUCAGCAGGUCGCGGUGAAUACGUUCUCGCCUCUUGUACACACCGCCCGU